rnacentral:rRNA from 1 species
AGGCCUAACACAUGCAAGUCGAACGGUAGCACAGAGAGCUUGCUCUCGGGUGACGAGUGGCGGACGGGUGAGUAAUGUCUGGGAAACUGCCUGAUGGAGGGGGAUAACUACUGGAAACGGUGGCUAAUACCGCAUAACGUCGCAAGACCAAAGAGGGGGACCUUCGGGCCUCUUGCCAUCAGAUGUGCCCAGAUGGGAUUAGCUUGUUGGUGAGGUAACGGCUCACCAAGGCGACGAUCCCUAGCUGGUCUGAGAGGAUGACCAGCCACACUGGAACUGAGACACGGUCCAGACUCCUACGGGAGGCAGCAGUGGGGAAUAUUGCACAAUGGGCGCAAGCCUGAUGCAGCCAUGCCGCGUGUAUGAAGAAGGCCUUCGGGUUGUAAAGUACUUUCAGCGGGGAGGAAGGUGUUGUGGUUAAUAACCGCAGCAAUUGACGUUACCCGCAGAAGAAGCACCGGCUAACUCCGUGCCAGCAGCCGCGGUAAUACGGAGGGUGCAAGCGUUAAUCGGAAUUACUGGGCGUAAAGCGCACGCAGGCGGUCUGUCAAGUCGGAUGUGAAAUCCCCGGGCUCAACCUGGGAACUGCAUUCGAAACUGGCAGGCUUGAGUCUUGUAGAGGGGGGUAGAAUUCCAGGUGUAGCGGUGAAAUGCGUAGAGAUCUGGAGGAAUACCGGUGGCGAAGGCGGCCCCCUGGACAAAGACUGACGCUCAGGUGCGAAAGCGUGGGGAGCAAACAGGAUUAGAUACCCUGGUAGUCCACGCCGUAAACGAUGUCUACUUGGAGGUUGUGCCCUUGAGGCGUGGCUUCCGGAGCUAACGCGUUAAGUAGACCGCCUGGGGAGUACGGCCGCAAGGUUAAAACUCAAAUGAAUUGACGGGGGCCCGCACAAGCGGUGGAGCAUGUGGUUUAAUUCGAUGCAACGCGAAGAACCUUACCUGGUCUUGACAUCCACAGAAGUUUUCAGAGAUGAGAAUGUGCCUUCGGGAACCGUGAGACAGGUGCUGCAUGGCUGUCGUCAGCUGAAUCCAGAGAUGGAUUUGUGCCUUCGGGAACUGUGAGACAGGUGCUGC